rnacentral:rRNA from 1 species
CAGUCGCCACGGUAAUACGAAGGGUGCAAGCGUUACUCGGAAUUACUGGGCGUAAAGCGUGCGUAGGUGGUGGUUUAAGUCCGUUGUGAGAGCCCUGGGCUCAACCUGGGAAUUGCAGUGGAUACUGGGUCACUAGAGUGUGGUAGAGGAUAGUGGAAUUUCCGGUGUAGCAGUGAAAUGCGUAGAGAUCGGAAGGAACAUCUGUGGCGAAGGCGACUAUCUGGGCCAACACUGACACUGAGGCACGAAAGCGUGGGGAGCAAACAGGAUUAGAUACCCCUGUAGUCCCUGUCUCUUAUAC